ACUCUUGCCAUGAUGAAAUUUGAUCUUAAAAAAAAAAAUAUCGAAAGAAGAAGAUGUGCUCUUGAUUUCUGUACUGUUGUUCUUGAAGAUAAGUCUUACCCUGGAGAUUAUAUCGGACUAAUCGGAGUUUGGUUCCUAUUACAAAAACCCUUGAUGUUUGUUCUAGACUUCCAAUUUGUUAAACAUACAUGUUAUGAUGUACAUAUCCUCUCUCACAAUUUAAUUUUUAUAAUUCCACUUUUGAUAUACAAAACUGGGGGCAUUUUAAAGAUUGAUACAUAUCUUCAAAUCAUAGAAAGUUUUAUUCAUAAACAUUAACAUAGAUGAUCCCUAUAAGCAGCCAAACUUUGUUAGUUUUAAACCUUUAUUCGCAUAGAAUUGCAUUUGAGAGAGGACACGUGAGGCACGUGUGCUUUUAAAAAUAUUUGUGAUACUAGUCCCACAUCGGAGAAGCAAUUCGAAGGGAGCUGUUCAUAUAGGUUAAUCUGGCAAGGUAGCUC
rnacentral:snoRNA from 1 species